rnacentral:misc_RNA from 1 species
AACGGUCUAUACCUGCGGUACCUGCGGAAGGAUCAUUACCGAGUUUUCAACUCCCAAACCCCUGUGAACGUUACCUCAAUCGUUGCCUCGGCGGGAUCGCCCCGGCGCCCCUCCCCCCCCUUCGCGGGAGGAGGAGUCCGGACCCAGGCGCCCGCCGGAGGAACCCCAAACUCUUGUCUGUUUUUCAGUCUCUUCUGAGUAAAUCAAAACAAAUCAAUCAAAACUUUUAGCAACGGAUCU